AAUCAACGCUGGCGGCGUGCCUAACACAUGCAAGUCGAACGCGAAAGCCCUUUCGGGGGUAAGUAGAGUGGCGUCCGGGUGAGUAACACGUAGGUAAUCUACCUUCGGGUGGGGAAUAACUCGCCGAAAGGCGAGCUAAUACCGCAUAAUGCAGCGGCACCUAAUGGUGAUUAGUUGUUAAAGCGGGGGACCCGCAAGGGCCUCGCGCCUGAAGAGGAGCCUGCGGCAGAUUAGCAGUUGGUGAGGUAAUGGCUCACCAAGGCUACGAUCUGUAGCUGGUCUGAGAGGACGGCCAGCCACACUGGCACUGACACACGGGCCAGACUCCUACGGGAGGCAGCAGUGGGGAAUUUUGGGCAAUGGGCGAAAGCCUGACCCAGCAACGCCGCGUGAGGGAGGAAAUCCUUCGGGAUGUAAACCUCAUAAGUAAGGGAAGAGCGCAGGAGGGCGAAUACUCCUCCUGCUCGACGGUACCUUACGUAAGCCACGG
rnacentral:rRNA from 1 species